rnacentral:rRNA from 1 species
AGCUCCAAUAGCGUAUAUUAAAGUUGUUGCGGUUAAAAAGCUCGUAGUUGGAUCUCGGCGAGUAGGGGGCGGUUCAUUAUCUGAUGCUACUGCCCCAUUUACUCGUGUUUUUGACAGCCGGUUGGUGGUCCCCUUAAAUGGGUGUCGCCAGUCACUGUCAGGUUUACUUUGAAAAAAUUAGAGUGCUCAAAGCAGGCUUAUAACGCUUGAAUAUUCGUGCAUGGAAUAAUAGAAUAGGAAGUCGUUUCUAUUUUGUUGGUUUUCGGAAAAUGACUUAAUGAUUAAUAGGGACAAUCGGGGGCAUUAGUAUUCAAACGACAGAGGUGAAAUUCUUGGACCGUUUGAAGACUAACUACUGCGAAAGCAUUUGCCAAGAGUGUUUUCA